rnacentral:rRNA from 1 species
AGAGUUUGAUCCUGGCUCAGGGUGAACGCUGGCGGCGUGCUUGACACAUGCAAGUCGAACGGUAUGUGGCAACACAUAGAGUGGCGAACGGGUGAGUAACACGUGGGAACGUACCCUCUGCAGGGGGAUAACUGACCGAAAGGACAGCUAAUACCGCAUAAGACCGAGAGGAGAAAGGUGCAACAGCAUCGGCAGAGGAGCGGCCCGCGGACCAUCAGCUAGUUGGUGGGGUAAGAGCCUACCAAGGCAACGACGGAUAGCCGGCGUGAGAGCGUGGCCGGCCACAAGGACACUGAGAUACGGGUCCUACUCCUACGGGAGGCAGCAGUGCGGAAUUUUAGAUAAUGGAGGCAACUCUGAUCUAGCGACGCCGCGUGCAGGAAGAAGGUCUUCGGAUUGUAAACUGCUGUGGUAAGGGAAAAAUGCCAUGUAGAGUGGAAAGCUACAUGGAGGGGUGGUACUUUACUAGAAAGCCCCGGCUAACUACGUGCCAGCAGCCGCGGUAAUACGUAGGGGGCGAGCGUUACCCGGAAUCACUGGGCGUAAAGGGAGCGUAGGUGGCCUGACAUGUCGACUGUGAAAACCCGGAGCUCAACUCCGGACUUGCAGUUGAAACUGCCAGGCUUGAGGACGGUAGAGGAAGACGGAACUGCCAGUGUAGGGGUAAAAUCCUUAGAUAUUGGCAGGAACGCCGGUGACGAAGGUGGUUUUCUGGGCCGGUUCUGACACUGAUGCUCGAAAGCCAGGGGAGCGAACGGGAUUAGAUACCCCGGUAGUCCUGGCCCUAAACGAUGUUCACUAGGUGUGGGGAGCGGAAAGCUUUCCGUGCUAAAGCUAACGCGAUAAGUGAACCGCCUGGGGGAGUACGCCCGCAAGGGUGAAACUCAAAGGAAUUGACGG